rnacentral:misc_RNA from 1 species
AUUUACACUGAUUAAGGGAUUUAAACUAAUUGAGGGAUUCUAACACUAUGUAAAGGUUGCAAGUUGCAAACUAUGAGAAGCUUGUUGAUGGAUGUCAAUGUGGCUUGGUUAUUGAGUCCUAUAUGAUAAAUGGAGUGAUUUGUUGUUCCUUUCAUUUUUCUCCACUUAAAUUGAAUCCCUCCUUUGCCUCAUUGAUUGUCACUGAUGGCAUUUAUUAUGUUAUUUAUCAGAAGGUAUAAGAUGUGUGAAGAA